CCUACGGGAGGCAGCAGUGAGGAAUCUUGGUCAAUGGGCGCGAGCCUGAACCAGCCAAGUAGCGUGAAGGAUUACUGCCCUACGGGUUGUACACUUCUUUUAUAAAGGAAUAAAGUGAGGCACGUGUACCUUUUUGUAUGUACUUUAUGAAUAAGGAUCGGCUAACUCCGUGCCAGCAGCCGCGGUAAUACGGAGGAUCCGAGCGUUAUCCGGAUUUAUUGGGUUUAAAGGGAGCGUAGGUGGUUUGUUAAGGCAGUUGUGAAAGUUUGCGGCUCAACCGUAAAAUUGCAAUUGAUACUGGCAGUCUAGAGUACAGUUGAGGUAGGCGGAAUUCGUGGUGUAGCAGUGAAAUGCUUAGAUAUCGCGAAGAACUCCGAUUGCGAAGGCAGCUUACUAAACUGCCACUGACAUUGAUGCUCGAAAGUGUGGGGAUCAAACAGGAUUAGAUACCCUAGUAGUC
rnacentral:rRNA from 1 species